rnacentral:rRNA from 1 species
UGGGUGACCUGCCCUCAGCUCUGGGAUAAGCCUGGGAAACUGGGUCUAAUACUGGAUAUUCACUUCUCAUCGCAUGGUGGGUGGUGGAAAGUUUUUUCGGCUGGGGAUGGGCCCGCGGCCUAUCAGCUUGUUGGUGGGGUGAUGGCCUACCAAGGCGACGACGGGUAGCCGGUCUGAGAGGAUGGCCAGCCACAUUGGGACUGAGACACGGCCCAGACCUCCGUACGGGAG